AGGAAAUAAAAGUACUCCAUAAUUGAACAAAUGGUUCAUAUUUUAAUGGGUUUCAGUCUACUCAGAGAAUAAGAAAAACCAGAGAAAAUAUAGAAGCAGAGUUCACUUCAAUGAGUUUUCGAAAAGACGAAUCUAAUGGUUCCACAAAUCCAGAUGACGAUAAUAACAUCAAGCGGACUCAACUUAAAAUUCAAUUUCACAGUACAAGAAAAGAGGAUCUCGAAAAGAUCGAAUCCUAUGUGUUUAAAUUGAAAACGAUAUAUGGUAUUGCAACUUCUUGCUGGUUUGCCAACUCAAUACUUACCCAUCAAAAACACAAUAUCAUCAAAGUGGCCUCUUCCAAAUUUUGAAGACGCUUGUUCCAUGGUCUACAUGCAAGAAGACAUAUUACUAAAGGAGGAAAAGGAGCAGUCGUCUAGUUUUAUCAGCGGAGAGAAUUUUGAUGCUGCGGUAAAUGCAAUUGGAUCACUUAGUACUGUUGUUGGCGCAGUGGGUGUUGUGACUUCUGCUGGCUGGAAAAUUUGGCAGGCGAUAGCACGCAAGUAAAUUAUUAUUAUUACAUUAAUUAAAAAUGAGUGUUUAGACGUGUGAUUUUAUUUCGAGAUUUGAAAUUAUGAGUAUGGUACUAAUAUGGAUAGAGUUUAUGUAAUUGGAUCUUCGGUUUUCUGUAAUCAAAGUUAGAAAUGCUAUUAAGUUUUUUUUUUUCUUUUA